rnacentral:misc_RNA from 1 species
UACACAAGUCACUUAAAAUUACAAUCUGCUUAAAGAACAACACACUGUUCCGAUUGUAAAGAGAACAUAUUGUUCUGAUUGUAAGGAGAAAAUACACAGAGACCAACUACCAGAAUUACCAUAGUGUCCACACUAUUUCAACUUAAUUAUUCACUGCAACCUUGCAUCAUGAGUAACACAAACACAAGCGGAAACACGCCCAAUGUAUAAUCUACAAUAGAGCAUGUGCCAAACUUAAUAACUUUGUUCAAUGAGAUAGUCGCCAAGCCUCUCGACAAUCAUGUUGCACUGUCCAGGUGUCAUUGGUUCAUCAUAGAUACCGAUGACGAGAGCCAGAUUAGUCUUCUUGAUAGUAACACCCCCAGAACCCUUUUUCCCUCGAAUAACAGCCCCCGGUUCACCUUGGAUCACCAUGUACUUUGUACUGCCAAUGUAUAGACCAGUUGGCGCAAGAGAACCUGGUUCUUCAAAGUCCUUGAUAAUGCCAGCUAUUUCCUCAGGCUUGAUCUGCGGGAAGUUCUCGCUCUGAGCCCAGACGCUGCCGUCGUGGCCGACGAUGGCGGCGGCGGUGAGGAUCUGGCCGUCGAUCUCGCACAUCAGGUGCUCAUCAACGUAGGUCUGCCACGACAUCUUCUCUCUUCUCUCUCCUCUCUCCUCUCUCUCUCUCCCUUUCUCUCUGUGCGCACAGAUGUCUAAUCAGAUUUUGCGUUAACGUGUUUGAAUCUCUGCGUACGCGCAUAUACUCAUACAGGGGAGGGAGGGAUAUACAUAGAAACAUAGAGAGAAUGUCGAAGAAGAAAGCUUUCAGUGGCAACACUAUGACUCUCAAGGACUUUCAUGGCGGUUCUAUCCCAACUGAUCUCCCUCUUCCUUCUGCUCCUGGUGUAAUUGUUAGGUCUUCGGAGUGGUCUGGUUGCGAUCGACCAAAUGCAUGGGGAGGGCCAAUGGGUCGUCCCGAUCACCGGGCUAGGCCUAAUUCGUCCCCUGCUACUAGGCAUUUCGAUGAUAAAACCCCCUUUCUUAGUCAUACAGCACAGAUUGGCCGUCAUUUCGAUGAGGAUGAACGCAAGCCUUUAGAUGGUGUUUCGGCCCCACGCCGGACAGUCAAUGAUGAGAGCUUUCGUGUCCCACAGAGUAGGAUGGAGUUGAAACCAGAGCCUGUGUUGAGUGGAAUGUUGUCAGGUUCAGCUUCAGGGGUACAGGUUGCAAGUUCAUACUCAGGAAGGGUUAGCGAUGGGGUUCAUGUGGGGGCAAGUCUGCAGAAUGUAGGGGGUAAUACUGGGAAGAGCGUUGGAGGGUCACACCCAAAUGCAUGGGCAGCCAGGAAGGAGAUGGUAGUAGGUGUUAAUGAGCCAGUGCAAUCUGCCUGGUCAGAAGCGAGUGGCGUUUCAAGGUUAGCUCAUGCAAGUGCUCUUGAAAAGGUGUCUUCAGGCAGAUGGCAGAUAAAGCAUUCUAUUAACUAUCAAACGGAUGUUGAGACUAUUGAGCAUUUGGAAACAGAAAAGGGUGUAGCUUCUGUAGGUUAUGAUGGCUGUGCAUACAAUAGGAUGGAUGCAGUGGGUGGGAGGGAAUAUCCUGAUGCAACAUUGGCCAGGCAUGUGGAAAAGGGUAUGGGUAUUGAUGAUGGGAUUCAAAAUGGUAGAAAGGAGUAUGUUGAUCAUGAUAGAGUCAGGGCUGCUUCAUAUUCAGAAUUGAAAGAGAGGAACCUGUCAUUGCAGGGUGAAAGGUUUCAACCACCACGUACUGAUGUCAGAUUUAGUAGGUCUGAAUUGCUACCCCUGGUGCGGUCUGAAUCAUCAGAAAGGCCUAAGGUGAAGUUGCUUCCAAGAACAAAGCCUUUGGAUAAUUUGGAACUGUCUACUGUUGAUCAUGAGCAGGGACACCAACAGCUGAGUAACUCUGCUAAUGGUCAUGUUAAAGCUGGUGAAAUGCAUGGAAAUGUCAGUGCUGCAAAACCUGGUUUAACUAAUUUGGAUAGUGCAAAUCAGGCGAUAGAGCGCCCAAAAUUGAACUUGAAGCCACGAUCACAGCCUCUUGAACAAUCAGAAGGGAACACAAAAAUGGGAAGGUUUGGAUUAUUUGGUGGUGCUCGUCCACGUGAAGUGGUUCUGAAGGAGCGAGGAAUUGACAAUACUGCUAUUGGUAACCAUGACUCUGGUCAGCAUCCAGAUAGGUAAUGGCAGUCUCACUUUUAUAUUUUUACUUCCUCUCAUUGAAUGAUGGAUUCAAAUCUGAAUAUUUUGCUAUGUCAUUUUGCCGUGAUAUAUGAAGGGUCAAGCAUAUUGUUUCCAAGACUGAAAGAGUUCCUGAGCAUGCAGUUCCUACUCGUCAUGGUGAAAGGAAUGACAAUUUUUCUCCUGAUCAAAGGGCUGGAAAGAAAAUUGAGAGGAAGGAUCAGCAGGUGGACAUUGAGAAAGUUGAUAAACAGAGGAGGAAUUGGCGAAAUGAGAACUGGAGGAACAGCAGGGAUACUGAGAGGCAACAGCAGCUGCCGCAAUUGCAGCGGGAGAGGCCUCCUUCACCAGAGACCUGGCGCAAACCUGUUGAGCAACCAAAACCAACCUCACCUGAUGCCGCUGGUUUGCGUUAUGGAAAAGCAGCUUCAGCCUUGGAGCUUGCCCAAGCAUUCUCAAGAUCCUUCUCAGAUCCAAAAACAGCAGACCAGUAUUCUGGCCAAAGGAGCCUCACUGGCAAGACCCAGAUGCCUUUUUCACGGCUAAUGGGACCCACGGCAAGGCCUCAGAUAAAUGGCUACUAAAUUUUGAGCGGUGUUAUGGCCAAUUAGGCAUCUGGUGGUAAGAAGAUUAUGUCUAUUUCAGCGUUGGUUAGUUGCACAAUCACUCAACAAAUGAGUGUGCACCAAGAUAUUUUCAGCGAAUAGAUGACCAUUUGAAUCGAGUGCAAUUCUCCAGAUACUGUUGAGGCCACUUUACUUUUUAACCCCAUUUGUCAUUUCAUCCUUUGCGCCAACCCCCCCUCCCCACAAAACCCCUCUUGGAAACUGUAUUCCUCAUUUUUUAUAAGAGAGUUAUCUUGGUUGCUUAUUUAUACAAUGGGCAUGGUACGAGGAAGUACAUUUUGUGGCUUCUCAAUGGCAAUUUGUGUUCUUGAGAGUAGACUUUCUGGCCAGAACCAGAAAGGAAAUGAAUUGGAAACGGAUUGUUUCAAGAAAGUUUCAGCCAGUUCUGGUUCUGGUUCAAGACAGUUUAGGAUUGUGUGUUUCUGUUCUAGUUAAUGAUGUUUGGUAGAAGAUUAAUUAAAAAACCUUAAAUGAAGUACGG